UUUUUUUUGAAAAUAACACCCGACAUGUUUUGUAGUAUUUGUUCUGUAUCCAUUACAAAAUAUGUGUAUACGUCUCUUCAUAUAUUUUUAAAAACGUGUUUGUAUUUUUACUAUUAUGAGGUAAAUAAAAUGUAAUAUAAUCAUAAUUAUAAUUAUGUAUAUUAUAAUGAGGUCAUUCAUUUUUUUUGCUGAUUUAAGAUAUAUAUUAGUAUUACGGUGGUCAAAAUUUAUAUGGGCUUGACAUUUUCUUGAAAAAUUAAAAAUGAGUAUCCCCUACCACCUCCACUUUUUAAUAUGAAACAAAUUUUUUGAGAAAAUAUGAUCAUGAUAACUUACCCUCUUUCCGUGUCAAAAUAGGGUUGAAUUAUGUCACAAGGGGUUGUUUUUCAGUUUUUUUUGAUUAUUCGGAAAAAUAAAAUGUUUAGCGA